UAGGGAAUUUUCGUCAAUGGGCGCAAGCCUGAACGAGCAAUGCCGCGUGAGUGAGGAAGGCCUUCGGUCGUAAAGCUCUGUUGCGAGGGAAAAAGGAACGGAAG
rnacentral:rRNA from 1 species